GAAAGCCGUGUGCGAUGAGAAUUGCAAGCACGGUUUGGGGAGAUAUUUCUCGCUCUUACUGAUACUGAAGGAGCAGAUAUUCCACUCCAU
rfam:Picea glauca, whole genome shotgun sequence.